rnacentral:tRNA from 1 species
GCCCCGGUAGUAUAGCCCGGUCAAGUAUGUGGGCCUUUCGAGCUUAGGCGAAGAUAGCCCGUGACCCGGGUUCAAAUCCCGGCCGGGGCA